rnacentral:lncRNA from 10 species
GCCCGGCGGCCGGCAGCACGAUGUCCCAAUGCCCUCAAGAGCCUCCCUGAGCCUCCAGAAGGAGCGGCAGUGUUGGCACCCGCAGAAGCCCAGGAGGUCAUGUCUGCCUGCGCUGUCUAAUGCCACUGUCUGUGGUCAUUCGUUCCAGCAACAACAGGAAACCCAGGCCCAGGCAACCCAAGCUCAGUGAGAGGAUGGCUGGGGACAGGUUAAUACCCACAGGUAACUUCCUCCACAAAGAAAGCUGGAAAACGCAUGCACGCGCCAUCCUCAAACACACCAGCCACCGAGAAACACAAUAGGCACGUGCUGUGGUGUGGACGUGUCCCCAAGUUCACCAUCGGAAACCUGAUCCCCAACGCAACACUGCUGAGGUCGUGAGGGCUCCGUCCUCACCAAAGCGUUCUCGCUGUUAGCACAGGAGUGGCUCCUGAUAAAAGGUAAAAUAAACUACAAACAAAAGUAAAAGUGAAAACGAGGCUGGGAGUGGUGGCUCACACCUGUCAUCCCAACACUUUGGGAGGCCGAGGCGGGCGGAUCAUGAAGUCAGGAGUUCGAGACCAGCCCAACCAACAUGGAGAAACCCCGUCUCUACUAAAAAUACAAAAAUUAGCCUGGCACGGUGGCACGCGCCUGUAAUCCCAGCUACUCAGGAGGGUGAGGCACGAGAAAUCACUUGAACCUAGGAGGCAGAGGCUGCAGUGAGCUGA